rnacentral:rRNA from 1 species
CAGGGCUCGGCGUCGCGUAUACAUGGUAGCCGUAGAGAUGGGAGCUUGCUCCCUGAUGUUAGCGGCGGACGGGUGAGUAACACGUGGGUAACCUGCCUGUAAGACUGGGAUAACUCCGGGAAACCGGGGCUAAUACCGGAUGCUUGUUUGAACCGCAUGGUUCAAACAUAAAAGGUGGCUUCGGCUACCACUUACAGAUGGACCCGCGGCGCAUUAGCUAGUUGGUGAGGUAAUGGCUCACCAAGGCAACGAUGCGUAGCCGACCUGAGAGGGUGAUCGGCCACACUGGGACUGAGACACGGCCCAGACUCCUACGGGAGGCAGCAGUAGGGAAUCUUCCGCAAUGGACGAAAGUCUGACGGAGCAACGCCGCGUGAGUGAUGAAGGUUUUCGGAUCGUAAAGCUCUGUUGUUAGGGAAGAACAAGUACCGUUCGAAUAGGGCGGUACCUUGACGGUACCUAACCAGAAAGCCACGGCUAACUACGUGCCAGCAGCCGCGGUAAUACGUAGGUGGCAAGCGUUGUCCGGAAUUAUUGGGCGUAAAGGGCUCGCAGGCGGUUUCUUAAGUCUGAUGUGAAAGCCCCCGGCUCAACCGGGGAGGGUCAUUGGAAACUGGGGAACUUGAGUGCAGAAGAGGAGAGUGGAAUUCCACGUGUAGCGGUGAAAUGCGUAGAGAUGUGGAGGAACACCAGUGGCGAAGGCGACUCUCUGGCCUGUAACUGACGCUGAGGAGCGAAAGCGUGGGGGAGCGAACAGGAUUAGAUACCCCUGGUAGUCCACGCCCGUAAACGAUGAGUGCUAAGUGGUUAGGGGGUUUCCGUCCCUUAGUGCUGCAGCUAACGCAUUAAGCACUUCGGCCUGGGGAGUACGGCCGCAAGACUGAAACUCAAAGGAAUUGACGGGGGCCCGCACAACGGUGGAAGAUGUGGUUUAUUUCCAGCAAACGCGAAAGAACCUUACCAGGGCUUGACAUCCUCUGAGAAUCC